AGUGAACGCUGGCGGUAGGCCUAACACAUGCAAGUCGAACGGCAGCACAGUAAGAGCUUGCUCUUACGGGUGGCGAGUGGCGGACGGGUGAGGAAUACAUCGGAAUCUACUUUUUCGUGGGGGAUAACGUAGGGAAACUUACGCUAAUACCGCAUACGACCUACGGGUGAAAGCAGGGGAUCUUCGGACCUUGCGCGAUUGAAUGAGCCGAUGUCGGAUUAGCUAGUUGGCGGGGUAAAGGCCCACCAAGGCGACGAUCCGUAGCUGGUCUGAGAGGAUGAUCAGCCACACUGGAACUGAGACACGGUCCAGACUCCUACGGGAGGCAGCAGGGGGGAAUAUUGGACAAUGGGCGCAAGCCUGAUCCAGCCAUACCGCGUGGGUGAAGAAGGCCUUCGGGUUGUAAAGCCCUUUUGUUGGGAAAGAAAAGCAGCAGGUUAAUACCCCGCUGUUCUGACGGUACCCAAAGAAUAAGCACCGGCUAACUUCGUG
rnacentral:rRNA from 1 species